GAUGAACGCUGGCGGCGUGCCUAAUACAUGCCAGUCGAGCGAACAGACGAGGAGCUUGCUCCUCUGACGUUAGCGGCGGACGGGUGAGUAACACGUGGAUAACCUACCUAUAAGACUGGGAUAACUUCGGGAAACCGGAGCUAAUACCGGAUAAUAUAUUGAACCGCAUGGUUCAAUAGUGAAAGACGGUUUUGCUGUCACUUAUAGAUGGAUCCGCGCCGCAUUAGCUAGUUGGUAAGGUAACGGCUUACCAAGGCAACGAUGCGUAGCCGACCUGAGAGGGUGAUCGGCCACACUGGAACUGAGACACGGUCCAGACUCCUACGGGAGGCAGCAGUAGGGAAUCUUCCGCAAUGGGCGAAAGCUUGACGGAGCAACGCCGCGUGAGUGAUGAAGGUCUUCGGAUCGUAAAACUCUGUUAUUAGGGAAGAACAAAUGUGUAAGUAACUAUGCACGUUUUGACGGUACCUAAUCAGAAAGCCACGGCUAACUACGUG
rnacentral:rRNA from 1 species